CUACUAGGGUUUCUAAUCCUGUUUGCUACCCACGCUUUCGUGCCUCAGUGUCAGUUACAGUCCAGAAAGCCGCCUUCGCCACCGGUGUUCCUCCUAAUAUCUACGCAUUUCACCGCUACACUAGGAAUUCCACUUUCCCCUCCUGCACUCAAGCUAUCCAGUUCGCAAGGCUUACAAUGGUUAAGCCACUGCCUUUCACCCCACGCUUAGAUAACCACCUACGCACUCUUUACGCCCAAUAAUUCCGGAUAACGCUCGCCCCCUACGUAUUACCGCGGCUGCUGGCAC
rnacentral:rRNA from 1 species